rnacentral:lncRNA from 1 species
GAUGACAUAAUAUUGCAAAUCACCACUAAUAAGAGUUGGUUUAUUAGCCACAAGAAACAAAAGGAAAAGGAGAAUUACAGAGAAACAGGUGGCCACAGAGUGAAACUGAAGAUGAUAGAGAUACUAAGCAUUUUCAAUGCACAAUAUUCUUGUUGUAUGGAAAGAAGACUUCUCCUAAUUUAAAAAAGCAAAAUAAAGUAAUGGGACCCCCUCUUCCUCCUCCCAAAUAGAGAUAAUCUAUAUUUUCUUCCAAAGUCUCAUUUUACAGAUUGCAUGCUACCGAACU